rnacentral:rRNA from 1 species
GAUGAACGCUGGCGGCGUGCCUAAUACAUGCAAGUCGAGCGAACGGACGAGAAGCUUGCUUCUCUGAUGUUAGCGGCGGACGGGUGAGUAACACGUGGAUAACCUACCUAUAAGACUGGGAUAACUUCGGGAAACCGGAGCUAAUACCGGAUGAUAUUUUGAACCGCAUGGUUCAAAAGUGAAAGACGGUCUUGCUGUCACUUAUAGAUGGAUCCGCGCUGCAUUAGCUAGUUGGUAAGGUAACGGCUUACCAAGGCAACGAUGCAUAGCCGACCUGAGAGGGUAAUCGGCCACACUGGAACUGAGACACGGUCCAGACUCCUACGGGAGGCAGCAGUAGGGAAUCUUCCGCAAAGGGCGAAGGCCUGACGGAGCAACGCCGCGUGAGUGAUGAAGGUCUUCGGAUCGUAAAACUCUGUUAUUAGGGAAGAACAUAUGUGUAAGUAACUGUGCACAUCUUGACGGUACCUAAUCAGAAAGCCACGGCUAACUACGUG